rnacentral:rRNA from 1 species
CCUACGGGUGGCAGCAGUCGAGAAUAAUUCACAAUGGGGGAAACCCUGAUGCUGCGACGCCGCGUGGAGGAAUGAAGGUCUUCGGAUUGUAAACCCCUUUCAUGUGGGAGCAAAUUAAAAAGAUAGUACCACAAGAGGAAGAGACGGCUAACUCUGUGCCAGCAGCCGCGGUAAUACAGAGGUCUCAAGCGUUGUUCGCAAUCACUGGGCGUAAAGCGUGCGUGGGCGGGUUCGUAAGUCGUGUGUGAAAGGCGCGGGCUCAACCCGCGGACGGCACAUGAUACUGCGAGACUAGAGUAAUGGAGGGGGAGGCGGAAUUCGUGGUGUAGCGGUGAAAUGCGUAGAUAUCGAGAGGAACACUCGUUGCGAAGGCGGGUUCCUGGACAGUAACUGACGCUGAGGCACGAAGGCGAGGGGAGCGAAAGGGAUUAGAUACCCGGGUAGUC